AUACUUUGAUUCUGUUCGGAAGAGAAGCUCUACCUCAAGCAUCAAGAUGAAGGCUGCUGUUGUUCUUGCUGUUCUUGCUGCGGUGCUGUGUGCCAGCACUGUCAACUGUGACUGCUUGUGUCCCCGUAUCAUUGACCCCGUCUGUGACACCGCCGGCAACUACUACGACAAUGCGUGCCUCUUGAACUGUGUUGAGGGUGCCGUCCAGGCCGCAGAGGGCGCCUACACCUUCAAUGGUAGCACCUGUGUUGCUGCCAGGAAGUAGAUGACAUUCA